rnacentral:rRNA from 1 species
UACGUAGGGCGCAAGCGUUGUCCGGAAUUAUUGGGCGUAAAGAGCGUGUAGGCGGCCUUACAGGUCAGCUGUGAAAACUCGAGGCUCAACCUCGAGACGUCGGUUGAAACCAUCUGGCUAGAGUCCGGAAGAGGAGAGUGGAAUUCCCGGUGUAGCGGUGAAAUGCGCAGAUAUCGGGAAGAACACCCGUGGCGAAGGCGGCUCUCUGGGACGGUACUGACGCUGAGACGCGAAAGCGUGGGGAGCGAACAGG